UACGAAGGGGGCUAGCGUUGCUCGGAAUUACUGGGCGUAAAGGGCUCGUAGGCGGCCAACUAAGUCAGACGUGAAAUCCCUCGGCUUAACCGGGGAACUGCGUCUGAUACUGGAUGGCUUGAGAUUGGGAGAGGGAUGCGGAAUUCCAGGUGUAGCGGUGAAAUGCGUAGAUAUCAGGAGGAACACCGGUGGCGAAGGCGGCCCUCUGGACGGUGACUGACGCUGAGACGCGAAAGCGUGGGGAGCAAACAGG
rnacentral:rRNA from 1 species